UUUUGGCAGGCUCCGAUCCCAGCGAUGGAGACCUCUGGUCAGGAUUCCACCUCAGCUGGAUCUCCUAGAUUAUAUCCACCUCUCCCGCUGCCAGGAUGAAGAAUUUUCAUGUGAAAUACAAAGAGAGCCAACUACUCUUCUAAGGUGCUGCUUGACAAUGUGAGGGCAGAGUGUUUUAGCCAAAUACCUGUGGAGACGGUGAUGACGUCUUGUGCCUUCAAGAUGGUGCCAACAAGCUUAUCAUCCAUCUUAAUUUCCUAUGACAUGUUUAUCUACUUAAUUCACUGUGGCAUGAAGGAGAGAUGAAGAAUGUAUGCUUUAGAUAAGCUUGACAAAAUGCAAUAGCCUUUGCACCUCAUUAGACCUGUGUAUUAAAAGAAAAGGAGAGGGAGAAAGAAAAAGAAAAAAAAAACUGUUAUUUAAAUAGUUAUUUGCUAUUUUUUCCUUACAAAUUAUGGCAGUAAACUAAGAUUUUAAGAAGCGACUUAUACACCAGUAGUUGUAAGUCAAAAAGAAUCUGCUACAUAAAUAUUAUACAAAAUUUUAUAUAAAGUUGUUAAUAUCAUUUUUACACAUCCUUUUUAAAUUUGAGCCAACGAAUUCCUUUUUGGGAAAUUAAAGUACAGUGGCCACUAAAAUAUAGAGCAGAAGUGAA